rnacentral:ncRNA from 1 species
ACAUAGACAGUUCCUUUCGAAAUAAAUAUUGGUUCUAAGAGUUAGGGUUGGGGGUUCCGGCAUUGAAUAUGGACUUGUAACUUAUAAAAGAAGAUGAAUUCAAAUGGUUAAUUGAAAUAACCGUAUUGUGAUGGUUCUUACUAAUGCUAACACAAUAUGAUUUUUGUCCAGUGUUCUAAGUUCUAACUGUCAAAAUGGCAGGAGUAAUUAUAACAGAGUUAUAAGAUAACCAAAUACCUCAUCUAAUUUGUGACACUUCUGAAUAAAUUAACAAGACUCUCAUUG